CGGUGCGGGCGGCGGUGCCGCUCCCGCUUGCCGUGCGGGGCCUGCCGCGCCGACGAGGGCAGGCACGAUCGCGCCGGGUUGCGCCGAC
rnacentral:tRNA from 1 species